CCGGAUCCCAUCAGAACUCCGCAG
rnacentral:snRNA from 1 species